UACGUAGGGUGCGAGCGUUAAUCGGAAUUACUGGGCGUAAAGCGUGCGCAGGCGGUUUUGUAAGACAGAGGUGAAAUCCCUGGGCUCAACCUGGGAACUGCCUUUGUGACUGCAAGGCUUGAGUGCGGCAGAGGGGGAUGGAAUUCCGCGUGUAGCAGUGAAAUGCGUAGAUAUGCGGAGGAACACCGAUGGCGAAGGCAAUCCCCUGGGCCUGCACUGACGCUCAUGCACGAAAGCGUGGGGAGCAAACAGG
rnacentral:rRNA from 1 species